AGGUUAGUGCAAAAGUAAUUGCAGUUUUGCCAUUACUUUUGAUGGCAAAAAGCGCAAUUACUUU
rnacentral:miRNA from 1 species